AAGUCGUAACAAGGUCUCCGUUGGUGAACCAGCGGAGGGAUCAUUACAGAGUUAUUAUAAACUCCCAAACCCAUGUGAACAUACCUAUCGUUGCUUCGGCAGGUCGCGUCUACCCCGUAAGCUCCUACCCCGGAGCACCCUUAUCCGGUAGACGCGGGGAAGCCUGCCGGUGGCCCCCGAAAAAAAACUCUUGUUUAAUAUUGAAAAUCUGAAUCUAUAACUAAAUAAGUUAAAACUUUCAACAACGGAUCUCUUGGUUCUG
rnacentral:misc_RNA from 1 species